AAGUUUCACAAUGCAAGUCCUUGAGACUUCCUUCUGAAGUUAAAACAGAUAGGAUAUGGAGGUUGAUGUACACAAGCUCGGGGAAUGCCAUUAUGGCACUGGCAGCAGAUGGUGUUCACCUAGUUUGGAAAUGGUCAAAGAAUGAUAUUAAUCUGGGUGGGCAGGCAACCACGAAAUGCGUACCUCAAAAACAACCCCGGA